GACGAACGCUGGCGGCGUGCUUAACACAUGCCAGUCGAACGGUGAAGCGCCUUCCUUUUUGGUGGGUGUGGAUGGGUGGCGAACGGGUGAGUAACACGUGAGUAACCUGCCCCCUUCUUCUGGAUAACCGCAUGAAAGUGUGGCUAAUGCGGGAUAUUCUGGGUCUGUCGCAUGAUGGGUCUGGGAAAGAUAUUGUUUCGGUGGGGGAUGGGCUCGCGGCCUAUCAGCUUGUUGGUGGGGUGAUGGCCUACCAAGGCGGUGACGGGUAGCCGGCCUGAGAGGGUGGACGGUCACACUGGGACUGAGACACGGCCCAGACUCCUACGGGAGGCAGCAGUGGGGAAUAUUGCACAAUGGGCGCAAGCCUGAUGCAGCGACGCCGCGUGAGGGAUGGAGGCCUUCGGGUUGUGAACCUCUUUCGCCAGUGAAGCAGGCCUGCCUCGUUUGUGGGUGGGUUGACGGUAGCUGGAUAAGAAGCGCCGGCUAACUACGUG
rnacentral:rRNA from 1 species